rnacentral:sRNA from 1 species
AUUCUGAACCCGCCAAGCUGCGAUGGAGAUAACAUGUCGGAUUCCAUUUAAGUAGCGAAGUAGAUCUAUCAGAAUUUAGUGCUCUUGGACUGAUGAAUCAUCAGAUUCGUACAACGACGAAAUCUUUAGGAAAACAUCCAUUGUCAAGACUAUUGUCAAGUGCCGAAAGGGAAGAAAAAGUCACCACCAUGUCAAGCAGGUAGAGCGCUCGUGAGAAACAAGAUGGCGAAACAGUCCCACAACGUCAGUCCUUUGCCUCAACUUCUGUUCUUACAUGUAGCAGCACCUUGGAGAUAGGUUCGCCGGCCAGUGGUACCAGUUGUUUAAUAGGACCAGCAUUGUGGCCACUUUUCAAGUUGAGAAAGAUUGAGUUUCAGCAGGAAAAAAUCUUGGAGGGGCAGAAGGAAAUCAUCGCUAAAUACUCUCUGAAAGUAAUCCAUCGCAAAAGAAAGGAAAUAAGAAAGUUAAAAUAUGUGUACCCAGCCAAGUACAUAUUGCUGUGCAUGAUGGAUACUCCCAUGGAAUUUCCCUAGGAUUGUAGUGAAAAAUGAAAUCUGAUGAUGGAAACCAAAUAUUGAAAUGCAAUAAACAGAUAUUUCCUGUCUAUGCAAGAUAAAGGAAGGAGAGAGUAGAUUCUUUCAAGAAAGGAAUGGAUCUGUAUCAAAGGAAACAAGGAAAACGGAAGUUAUACUAUAGACAGGCUGUCAGGCUGUAUUUAAACAAAAGACCUCCUGGGAUGAGGAGAAAAAGAAACAAGUAGAACCUGUAUUUCUUGUCGAGUACUUGAUGAUGUCAUCAGAAUAUGAAAAUGAUUGGGAAGAUGACACAAUAUAUGAAAUCACAUCUCUAAAGUGGCGCUCUGACGAAUGUUUAAUUGGACACCAAAAGUUCUGCUCUGAAAUCCAAAUGUUCAAAAAGGCAAAGUAUAAGACGUAUAAGGACCAACAAUGAAUCAUCUAGAGACAAACCAGAAAAUAUAUCAAAUGAACAGAAAUGGGCCAUUUGAGAUUUUUAAAAGAGUUGCAACUGUCAUGUAUAAUUAGCUCACCUAAGCUGAAAGUUAUUAUAUGGUUUUACUGAUAUGCAAGCAUUUUGACAUAUACAUUGUUGAUUGUAUAAAAUUGUUAACUCCGUCCCAUGGACAAUUUUUGUUCCUCGCUAGAGGUUCAUAUUUUGAUGUAGGUUUAUUAUCCAUGUAUAAAGAGUUGUUUAACACUUCUUGAGAACUGCAAAGCUCAAUAUGUGAUAUGACUAUAAAAUCAUUGCAAAAUAGCUUGAUGUAUUGUUGUAGUAUGAUGAACCUGAAAAUAUGCUGGGUAUUUUUUUAAAUACAGGAUCUGAUAUUACUUGUUCAACUCAUACUGUUAUAUAAAAGAAUAUUCAUUGUGUAUUUUUUUUAUUGUUGAAUUUUUUUUUAUGCUGAUCAAUUACAGAUUAAAUUUGGCCAUUAUGAUUUUCAAUUUUUGUCAUGUUGGCAUGUAACCAAGUC